GUCUUCUUCCAAACCAUUGCGCCUCCAAUAACCAUUGUUUCCUUUUUUGUGCUGUACAAUUUCAUAAUUCUGUUUAUAGAUCUUUUAUGUGCAGUAGUUCCUUUUUAUAUGUGCUAUUUUUCCCCUUCUAUCGUCUCCCCAGAAUUUGCACUUACCAAUCUAUCAAAUUAGCUAAUGUGAGCGGCUUCAACCUUAAUGUUGUUGCACAUGGCUGUUGACAUUUGGAGGUGUUGGAUUAUUGCUUUGUUUUUUAGUGAGGCAACAAAUGGAAUUUAAGUGACCCAGGAAUCCACAUUGGUAACCUACAAGUACCUAUCAUUUGCAGGAAAUUAGAGGGAAUGACUAUAACAAAGUCUGAUUGAUGCUCCAAGACAGGAGACAAGUUGCCGUGCCCAAGUAGGAAUGGCUAGCUGCUGCACACUGAGUGCCACGCAUGGCCAUACAUGGAUGCAAGAUCAUUUUCACACCAAGAAAAUCAAUGUGCUCAUGGAUGGUAUUGACUAUUCCUAGCAUAGACAAAUCGUUUUGCAAGCCAAACAUGUGAUCUGUGCCCUGAUGUUUUGUACAUAGUAGUUGUGCAAGCUAAACUUGUGAUAUCUGCAAGCCAAAGCAUGUGGCCUGUGGAAACUAAAUGGCAUGUCUAGAUACUUGUCUGAUCUAGCUUGCUGCUUUUGAAUUUUGUCAAAAGUUGUACUAGUACAAAUGUUGAUGGCUAUUAUAUGUGUCAGCCAAUCAAUUAUAUGAGCUGUGAGCUGUGUGAGCCAAUCAAUUAUAUGUUUGAGGUUAAAUGUGAGCUUGUAUGGUUAUUGUUUAAA